rnacentral:rRNA from 1 species
GUCUACAGCCAUGCCAUCCUGAAUGUGCCCGAUCCUUGUCUGAUCUCGGAACCUAAGCAGGUUCCGGUCUGAUCUCGGAACCUAAGCAGGUUCUUGGAACCCAAGCAGGUUAGUACUUGGAUGGGAGACCACCUAGGAAUAUCAGGUGCUGUAGGCA